GAGUUUGAUCCUGGCUCAGGACGAACGCUGGCGGCGUGCCUAAUACAUGCAAGUCGAGCGAGUCUGCCUUGAAGAUCGGAGUGCUUGCACUCUGUGAAACAAGAUACAGGCUAGCGGCGGACGGGGUGAGUAACACGUGGGUAACCUGCCCAAGAGAUCGGGAUAACACCUGGAAACAGAUGCUAAUACCGGAUAACAACAGAUGAUGCCUAUCAACUGUUUAAAAGAUGGUUCUGCUAUCACUCUUGGAUGGACCUGCGGUGCAUUAGCUAGUUGGUAGGGUAACGGCUACCAAGGCGAUGAUGCAUAGCCGAGUUGAGAGACUGAUCGGCCACAUUGGGACUGAGACACGGCCCCAAAACUCCUACGGGAGGCAGCAGUAGGGAAUCUUCCACAAUGGACGCAAGUCUGAUGGAGCAACGCCGCGUGAGUGAAGAAGGGUUUCGGCUCGUAAAGCUCUGUUGUUGGUGAAGAAGGACAGGGGUAGUAACUGACCUUUU
rnacentral:rRNA from 1 species